AUGCUAAUUUUGGCAGCACAUAUACUAAAAUUUGAAUGUAACAGAAAAAAUUACCAUGGCCAUUGUGCCCGGAAGACACACAAUUUUGUUAAGCAUUCCAUAUGUUU
rfam:Tupaia chinensis contig119745, whole genome shotgun sequence.